rnacentral:rRNA from 1 species
GACGAACGCUGGCGGCGUGGAUUAGGCAUGCAAGUCGAACGGUAUCAUCCUUUCGGGGGUGAGAGAGUGGCGAACUGGUGAGUAACACGUAGGUUAUCUACCCUCAAGACGGGGACAACCCAGGGAAACUUGGGCUAAUACCGGAUGUGAGCAACUUUUAGUUGUUUGAAAGGUGGCGUAAGCUGUCGCUUGGGGAUGAGCCUGCGUCCUAUUAGUUAGUUGGUGAGGUAACGGCUCACCUAGGCAAUGAUAGGUAGGCGGCCUUAACGGGUGGUCGCCCACACUGGGAUUGAGAUACGGCCCAGACUCCUACGGGAGGCAGCAGUCGAGAAUAGUCUACAAUGGUCGGAAGACUGAUAGUGCGACGCCGCGUGAACGAUGAAUCCCUUCGGGGUGUAAAGUUCUUUUAUAUGUGAGCAGUGCUUCUUAUAUUUAACAGUAUGGGGAGAGAGAUAUUAGCAUAUGAAUAAGCAACGGCUAACUCCGUGCCAGCAGCCGCGGUAAACUCG